rnacentral:rRNA from 1 species
ACUCCUACGGGAGGCAGCAGUCGAGAAUCUUCCGCAAUGGACGAAAGUCUGACGGAGCGACGCCGCGUGGAGGACGAAGGCCUUCGGGUUGUAAACUCCUGUCACGAGUUAAGAAGUGUAUGCCAUUAAUACCGGCAUGCAUUGACGAAGGCUCGAGAGGAAGCACUGGCUAACUCUGUGCCAGCAGCCGCGGUAAUACAGAGAGUGCGAACGUUGUUCGGAAUUACUGGGCUUAAAGCGUACGUAGGCGGCGUAACAAGUGUCGGGUGAAAGCCCACGGCUCACCCGUGGAAUUGCCUGGCAAACUGUUAUGCUAGAGUGUGGUAGGGAGAACAGAACUCAUGGUGGAGCGGUGAAAUGCGUAGAUAUCAUGAGGAAUACCGGUGGCGAAGGCGGUUCUCUGGUCCACAACUGACGCUGAGGUACGAAAGCUAGGGUAGCGAACGGGAUUAGAUACCCCUGGUAG